rnacentral:rRNA from 1 species
UACGAAGGGGGCUAGCGUUGUUCGGAAUUACUGGGCGUAAAGCGCACGUAGGCGGAUUAGCAAGUCAGGGGUGAAAUCCCGGGGCUCAACCUCGGAACUGCCUCUGAUACUGCCAGUCUAGAGUCCGGAAGAGGUGGGUGGAAUUCCUAGUGUAGAGGUGAAAUUCGCAGAUAUUAGGAAGAACACCGGUGGCGAAGGCGGCCCACUGGUCCGGUACUGACGCUGAGGUGCGAAAGCGUGGGGAGCAAACAGG